GGUCUCAUAGGGGUCUCAUAGAGGUCUCAUAGAGGUCUCAUAGAGGUCUCAUAGGGAUCUCAUAGAGGUCUCAUAGAGGUCUCAUAGAGGUCUCAUAGAGGUCUCAUAGGGGUCUCAUAGAGGUCUCAUAGA